UACAGAGGUCUCAAGCGUUGUUCGGAUUCAUUGGGCGUAAAGGGUGCGUAGGUGGCGCUGUAAGUCGGGUGUGAAAUUUCGGAGCUUAACUCCGAAACUGCAUUCGAUACUGCGGUGCUUGAGGACUGGAGAGGAGACUGGAAUUCCUGGUGUAGCGGUGAAAUGCGCAGAUAUCAGGAGGAACACCGAUGGCGAAGGCAGGUCUCUGGGCAUUAACUGACGCUGAGGAGCGAAAGCAUGGGGAGCGAACAGG
rnacentral:rRNA from 1 species